GGGGUUGUAGCUCAGUGGUAGAGCGCUUGCCUAGCAUGUGUGAGGCACUGGGUUCAAUCCCCAGCACCACA
rnacentral:tRNA from 1 species